rnacentral:rRNA from 1 species
AUUGAACGCUGGCGGCAGGCCUAACACAUGCAAGUCGAACGAGUGGCGGACGGGUGAGUAAUGUCUGGGAAACUGCCCGAUGGCGGGGGAUAACUACUGGCAACGGUAGCUACUACCGCCUACCAUCGGAUGUGCCCAGAUGGGCUUAGCUUGUAGGUGAGGUAACGGCUCACCUAGGCGACGAUCCCUAGCGGGUCUGAGAGGAUGACCAGACAAACGGGAACUGAGACACGGUCCAGACUCCUACGGGAGGCAGCAGUGGGGAAUAUUGCACAAUGGGAGAAAGCCUGAUACAGCCAUGCAGCGUGGAUGAAGAAGGCCUUCGGGUUGUAAAGUAAUUGCAGCGGGGAGGCGUUACCCGCAGAAGAAGCACCGGCUAACUCCGUGCCAGCAGCCGCGGUAAUUC